rnacentral:rRNA from 1 species
UCAGUCGACUCCUACGGGGAGGCAGCAGUGGGGAAUAUUGCACAAUGGGGGAAACCCUGAUGCAGCCAUGCCGCGUGUGUGAAGAAGGCCUUCGGGUUGUAAAGCACUUUCAGUAGGGAGGAAGGUAGUGUAGUUAACACCUGCACAUUUGACGUUACCUACAGAAGAAGCACCGGCUAACUCCGUGCCAGCAGCCGCGGUAAUACGGAGGGUGCGAGCGUUAAUCGGAAUUACUGGGCGUAAAGCGCAUGCAGGCGGCCUGUUAAGUCAGAUGUGAAAGCCCGGGGCUUAACCUCGGAAUUGCAUUUGAAACUGGCAGGCUAGAGUCUUGUAGAGGGGGGUAGGAAUUUCAGGUGUAGCGGUGAAAUGCGUAGAGAUCUGAAGGAAUACCAGUGGCGAAGGCGGCCCCCUGGACAAAGACUGACGCUCAGAUGCGAAAGCGUGGGGAGCAAACAGGAUUAGAUACCCUGGUAG